GCGACGGGUGAGUAAACGUGGGCAAUCUGCCCUUCACUCUGGGACAAGCCCUGGAAACGGGGUCUAAUACCGGAUAACACUCUGUCCCGCAUGGGACGGGGUUAAAAGCUCCGGCGGUGAAGGAUGAGCCCGCGGCCUAUCAGCUUGUUGGUGGGGUGAUGGCCUACCAAGGCGACGACGGGUAGCCGGCCUGAGAGGGCGACCGGCCACACUGGGACUGAGACACGGCCCAGACUCCUACGGGAGGCAGCAGUGGGGAAUAUUGCACAAUGGGCGAAAGCCUGAUGCAGCGACGCCGCGUGAGGGAUGACGGCCUUCGGGUUGUAAACCUCUUUCAGCAGGGAAGAAGCGAAAGUGACGGUACCUGCAGAAGAAGCGCCGGCUAACUACGUGCCAGCAGCCGCGGUAAUACG
rnacentral:rRNA from 1 species